UCCAGCUUGCGCGGCAGUCCGGCUAGAGUCCCCGCCAUGACGCGAUGGUAACUAACCGUAGGGGUUUCGCUCGUUAAAGGACUUAACCUGACACCUCACGGCACGAGCUGACGACAGCCAUGCAGCACCUGUUCCGGUUACACCCUUGCGGGCAAUCAAUAGGCUUUCACCUACAUAAUCCCGGUAUGUCAAGACCUGGUAAGGUUCUUCGCGUUGCUUCGAAUUAAACCACAUCCUCCACCGCUUGUGUGAGCCCCCGUCAAUUCCUUUGAGUUUCAGUCUUGCGACCGUAUUCCCCAGGCGGAGCACUUACCAAAUUGUCUGCGGCCGUCACCCCGUAACAGGGCGGCGACCUAGUGCUCAUCGUUUACGGCGUGGACUAC
rnacentral:misc_RNA from 1 species